CCAGACUCCUACGGGAGGCAGCAGUGGGGGAUAUUGCACAAUGGAGGAAACUCUGAUGCAGCGACGCCGCGUGAGGGAAGACGGUCUUCGGAUUGUAAACCUCUGUCUUUGGGGAAGAAAAUGACGGUACCCAAAGAGGAAGCUCCGGCUAACUACGUGCCAGCAGCCGCGGUAAUACGUAGGGAGCGAGCGUUGUCCGGAAUUACUGGGUGUAAAGGGAGCGUAGGCGGGAGGAUAAGUUGGACGUAUAAACUAUCGGCUCAACCGGUAGAGGCGUUCAAAACUGUCCUUCUUGAGUGAAGUAGAGGUAAGCGGAAUUCCUAGUGUAGCGGUGAAAUACGUAAAUAUUAGGAGGAACACCAGUGGCGAAGGCGGCUUACUGGGCUUUAACUGACGCUGAGGCUCGAAAGCGUGGGUAGCAAACAGGAUUAGAUACCCUGGUAG
rnacentral:rRNA from 1 species